rnacentral:rRNA from 1 species
GUAGGGAAUAUUGGACAAUGGGGGCAACCCUGAUCCAGCGACGCCGCGUGAGUGAUGAAGGCCUUCGGGUCGUAAAGCUCUGUUGCAGGGGAAGAACACAACGACGGUACCAUGCUAGAAAGGAUCGGCUAACUUCGUGCCAGCAGCCGCGGUAAGACGAGGGAUCCUAGCGUUGUUCGGAAUUAUUGGGCGUAAAGCGGGUGCAGGUGGCUUGGUAAGUCAGAUGUGAAAGCCUGUGGCUUAACCCCAGAAGUGCAUUUGAUACUGCUGAGCUUGAGUGCUGGAGAGGCUAUUAGAAUUCCUGGUGUAGUGGUGAAAUACGUAGAUAUCAGGAGGAAUACCGGAGGCGAAGGCGGAUAGCUGGCCAGACACUGACACUCAGACCCGAAAGCGUGGGGAUCAAACAGGAUUAGAAACCCGAGUAGUCC